AUGAUCAUUUUACAUCACGAUAUCUUUUUCUUCUGGUUAUGCAUUUUCCUCUGCACUUUUCUUUGUAUUUCAUUUAUGGAAUCGUCCGGGCAGAAACGGGCAAGAAUCUCUUCUGUCGUAGAGGCCUCGUCGAGUGCUUCCGCUACGCCAGGAGAUGAUGAUCCAAGAAAAAACAAAGUGGGACGGAGAGACGCCGAUGGAAAAGAGGAGUUGAGGUCAGAGCCAUCCACAAGCCACACCCCGCCGAACCCUUUUCCUGAAGCACCAUCUAUUGAUUUCUUAAGGAAACGCAUUAAAACGGUUCUUAAGUCCUGUCGAAAUAGGUACCCGGCGGAUCGCCUAUUACGCUCUACUUAG
rnacentral:rRNA from 1 species